AUGUUGUUUUUGAUUUUCUACUUUUUGUAUCCCUGUUUGUCUUCUGUUCUUCACUCUGGAAAGUCCCUACCAGAAUGUAUUGAGUUGCUUUUUCCUUUUUCACUUUUCCAUAUUAUUUGUCCUGUAUUAAUGUCCUCCAGCACAUUGACACUGAAGAUCCUGCUGUGUCCAAGUAAUGAACUAAGCAAGACUGCAGUCCAAAACACUCUAGUCUGGAGUAUGAUUCCUGCUAAGAGGAGAGCCAUCGCCUGGCAAUGGUAAGGUGUAUUUGCAGCAUGUGAAUUUAACUCCUUGCUUGAAAAUAUUUAGGAGAAAUAAGAUAUCUAGAAUUUACAUGUCUCUGUUUUUGUUUGUUUGUUUUUGUUUUUGUUUUUAUUUUUUUGAAGUGAGAUUAGUGCUUUGUUGUCUGUACCUGCACUGGUAUAUUUCAAGAAAUCUUCCAAUUUCAGAGCGGCUUUAUUUGAUUUUCACAUUAUUCCAGUAGAAUCAUAAAGUGUUUUUUUUUUUUUUCUACCUUUUGUUUCAGAAUGUAGAAGUUUUGCUUUACUGUAUAAAGUAAAACGGAAGGAAAAGACAGUUCAAAACAAACCCUCUGGGAUUCAUGUUCUGAAAUUUCAUCUUCAGACAUAUUGACCACAUUUGUAUUUAAUACAUUUCAGCCUUUUAUUUUUUGUCUUCUAUCAUUUGUUUGCACGGUAAGAUAAUUAAGUCACAUGAUUUAGUUAAAUAUUAAGUUAAACUAAGAUAUUAAAGUAAUUAAAUGCAACCAUCCCCCACAAAACUCUGAAAGAAUAGUGUUUAAUACACUACUUUAAGGAGUAGGCCAGGGACAGGACAAAGUUUUCUUUCAAGUUACUCCAGGAAAUCCUCAGACUCUGGAAAUUAGCACAAUUCAGCUGUUUUUAGUAUCUAUAAUUCCCAAGAUUUAAACCUACGUGUACAACAAUCUUCAGAGUCCCAGUUUAGUCACCAUACUGUACUGUUUUCAUGAGGUAAAUUAAUCUCCAGGUUGAAUGUUAUUUUCUUAUAAGAAGCCAUGAGUCUGUUUUAAACAAUGGGAAUAAAAUGCUUCUUACAGAAAUUGUGGAUUCA
rnacentral:lncRNA from 1 species